AACGAACGCUGGCGGCAUGCCUAACACAUGCAAGUCGCACGAGCCCUUCGGGUCUAGUGGCGCACGGGUGCGUAACGCGUGGGAACCUGCCUUUAGGUUCGGAAUAACUUAGUGAAAUUUGAGCUAAUACCGGACGAUGUCUUCGGACCAAAGAAUUAUCGCCUUUAGAUGGGCCCGCGUUGGAUUAGCUCGUUGGUGGGGUAAAGGCCUACCAAGGCGACGAUCCAUAGCUGGUCUGAGAGGAUGAUCAGCCACACUGGGACUGAGACACGGCCCAGACUCCUACGGGAGGCAGCAGUGGGGAAGAUUGGACAAUGGGCGAAAGCCUGAUCCAGCAAUGCCGCGUGAGUGAUGAAGGCCUUAGGGUUGUAAAGCUCUUUUACCCGAGAUGAUAAUGACAGUAGCGGGAGAAUAAGCUCCGGCUAACUCCGUG
rnacentral:rRNA from 1 species